UGAAUACGAGACGCUAAGGCGUCGAAGUAGUGUAUGUCAUACUUCCAAAAAAGCUUGCACUGUCAUAAGUAAAAAAUGCCUGUACCAUAACCGACACAGGUGGGUAGGUAGAGUAUACUAAGGGGCGCGAGAUAACUCUCUCUAAGGAACUCGGCAAAAUAACUCCGUAACUUCGGGAGAAGGAGUACCUUAUUCUAUAAGGUUGCAAUAACAAGAUCCAAGCAACUGUUUAUCAAAAACACAGGUCUCCGCUAAGUCGUAAGACGAUGUAUGGGGGCUGACGCCUGCCCAGUGCCAGAAGGUUAAAGAAGUCGGUUAGCAUUAGCGAAGCUGGUAACUGAAGCCCUGGUGAACGGCGGCCGUAACGAUAACGGUCCUAAGGUAGCGAAAUUCCUUGUCGGGUAAGUUCCGACCCGCACGAAAGGCGUAAUGAUUUGGAUACUGUCUCGGAGAGGGGCUCGGUGAAAUAGACUUGUCUGUGAAGAUGCGGACUACCUGCACCAGACAGAAAGACCCUAUGAAGCUUUACUGUAACUUGAAAUUGAAAUUGGACUUUAUUCGCGCAGUAUAGGUGGGAGGUGUUGAUUAUAAUCUUGCGGGAUUAUUGGAGCCAUCAGUGAGAUACCACUCUUGUAAUGUUAGAUUUCUAACUUUGAAUCAUUAUCUGGUCAAAGGACAGUUUCAGGCGGGCAGUUUGACUGGGGCGGUCGCCUCCCAAACGGUAACGGAGGCGUACAAAGGUUUCCUCUGAACGGGUAGAAAUCGUAUCUAGAGUGUAAAGGCAUAAGGAAGCUUGACUGUGAGACCUACAAGUCGAACAGGGACGAAAGUCGGUCUUAGUGAUCUGACGGUACUGAGUGGAAAGGCCGUCACUCAACGGAUAAAAGUUACUCUAGGAUAACAGGCUGAUCUCCCCCAAGAGUUCACAUCGACGGGGAGGUUUGGCACCUCGAUGUCGGCUCAUCGCAUCCUGGGGCGGUAGUACGUCCCAAGGGUUGGGCUGUUCGCCCAUGAAAGCGGUACGCGAGCUGGGUUCAGAACGUCGUGAGACAGUUCGGUCCAUAUCCGGUGUAGGCGUUAGAAUAUUGAGAGGAGCCUUCUUUAGUACGAGAGGACCGAGAAGGACAUACCUCUGGUGUACCAGUUAUCGUGCCAACGGUAAACGCUGGGUAGCUAUGUAUGGAGUGGAUAACCGCUGAAAGCAUCUAAGUGGGAAGCCCACCUCAAGAUAAGUAUUCUCAC
rnacentral:rRNA from 1 species